UCCAGUCGAUAAAACCAGUCAGUUAGUUCAGUCGAAUAAUCCAGUCGAAUAAACCAGUCGAAUAAUUCAGUCGAAAAGUUCAGUCGAAUAAACCAGUCGAAUAGUUCAGUCGAAUAAUUCAGUCGAAUAAUCCAGUCGAAUAAUUCAGUCGAAUAAACAAGUCGCUCAAUAUUAAGCAGCGGUGGCAGCGGGCUAAGAUAAUAUAGUAGCAAAUCAUGCUCGUAGCCAUAGCUGAAGGAGCCGGGGGCAUGGGGUAGUGACCGGGGGGCUUCCCAACUAGUUUCAAGAAAUGAAAAGAAAUGAAAUGGGGUUUUAACGUCCUACUGUUCUGCUUGGAACUGGGCUAAUGAAGACGGGCAGACGCCAUACACUGUGCGAUGAGGGAAAUUUUGCCCGGACAGCGGCACUACGGCCUACUCUUAUAUCGAAUUCCACCUGUCAAAGGGAUCUUUUACGUUGAGGAAAAGUUUCCAGAGCAAACUGUGCAUGACAUCUUAAAUUUUAGAUACGUAAUAAUUUGUACAAUCUUGCUACAAGGUGAAACUGCCAAGUUUGAAGAAGAAUCGGGAGUUUCAAAAGCUAAAAAAAGAAAAACAGCACCAAUAGACUUAUCCAAACCAUGUACCGAAACCGAUGCUGAGAAAAGCGAUUCUUCAAGUUAUAAUGUAAAAUCUGUUCCAAG